rnacentral:rRNA from 1 species
GACGAACGCUGGCGGCGUGCUUAACACAUGCAAGUCGAACGGAAAGGCCCUGCUUGCAGGGUACUCGAGUGGCGAACGGGUGAGUAACACGUGGGUGAUCUGCCCUGCACUUCGGGAUAAGCCUGGGAAACUGGGUCUAAUACCGGAUAGUAGCCAUUUUUAGUGUGAUGGUUGGAAAGUUUUUUCGGUGUAGGAUGAGCUCGCGGCCUAUCAGCUUGUUGGUGGGGUAAUGGCCUACCAAGGCGGCGACGGGUAGCCGGCCUGAGAGGGUGGACGGCCACAUUGGGACUGAGAGACGGCCCAGACUCCUACGGGAGGCAGCAGUGGGGAAUAUUGCACAAUGGGCGCAAGCCUGAUGCAGCGACGCCGCGGGGGGGAUGACGGCCUUCGGGUUGUAAACUCCUUUCGCUAGGGACGAAGCUUUUUGUGACGGUACCUAGAGAAGAAGCACCGGCUAACUACGUG